CCGUCUUCGACAAAUUACAGUUGGAGCUCGAGGAGCUAGCGGACGACGCCGAGGAGCGAUACAACGAGCGGAGCCAGCUCGAGGGCCAGUACUACGAGCUGGUGGCGCAGGCGCGCACCCUGCUGGAGGGCCAACUCGACCCUGCGCACAACCAGGUGGGCCCUGUAUCAGCUAAUUGUGACACGCACGCUUGCGCAACAAACAGACAACACUUGGUUAACUUACCUAAAGUAGAUUUAAUUCCCUUUGCUGGUGACUAUCAAUAUUGGCUUGAAUUUAAACAUACUUUUACGUCUCUUAUUCACGAGUGUGACUCGCUUGACGAUAUAAGCAAGUUUCACUAUUUAAGACGUUCGUUGCAAGGUAGUGCGCAGUUAGUGAUAAGUAACUUAGAUUUUACAAGUGCAAAUUAUAGUGAGGCUUGGUCUUUGUUAUGUGAUAGGUUUGAUAACAAACGGCUUCUAGUGAAUAAUCAUAUUCAGUCGUUAUUUAAUAUCGAAAAAAUAGGUAAAGAGUCUUGCCAAUCUAUUCGUAAUAUGAUUGAUACAACAAACAAAAACCUCCGCGCCCUGUCUACUUUAGGGCAGCCGGUCACACAUUGGGACACUUUAAUAAUAUACCUACUGUCUACGAAAUUGGAUUACGUAACUAGUCGUGAGUGGGAACAAUUUAGGAAUACAUUAAACAUUCCCCCCACUUUGCAAGACUUUACUAAAUUCCUUACAGGCCGUGCAGAUCUCUUAGAAACAUUACAAGAUACCAAACAAAAUCGCAGGCCUGAAUUUCAAAAAAAUGCCCCUAAUUUUCAAAAAAGUGCCCCUAAUUUUUCAAAAACAUUUGUUGUUAACACACAAAACAACAAUAGCUCAUACACUUGUCCAAUGUGUAACGACAACCAUUUCCUGCACAACUGUCAAUCUUUUCGUCAAUUAACGGUUGAUGAACGUGUGCGUAAGGUGACUGAACUUAAGGUUUGCCUUAAUUGCCUUAGGCCUGGUCAUAUUAAUAAGAAGUGUAGGUUGUCUAGGUGUAGGUAUUGCAAUUCCAAGCACAACACGCUCCUUCAUACUGAUAAGGAAACAGUGCAUAUACCUACAAUUGUCGAGAACAACGUAACUUUAUCGACCGACACUUCCACAACAGAUGCCAAACCGUCGUUCGUUUUCUUAUCCACAGCGAUGGUGAUGGUAGGUGACCGUCACGGAAGACUACACAAGGCACGGCUUCUGCUGGACAACGGCAGCACCGCCAACUUCGUGACGGACCGCCUUUGCACUAAACUGGGUUUGGUGAGACGUGAUACUAGCUCCACUGUGACUGGUAUUGACAAUCAGGCUACUGUAAGUACACAGCUUUGUAACCUUACUAUCGUGUCCAAUAACGGUGGCUAUAGGGUGAGCAUCAACUGUCACAUUCUGCCUGAUAUUACUAAAUCGAUACCUACAUCGCACGUCAACAUACAACAUAUACCCAUACCUACUGGUAUCAAUCUAGCGGAUCCGUCAUUCAAUGUUCCGUCUUCUAUCGACAUACUAGUAGGCGCCGAAAUAUUUUGGAGCGUACUUGGCUCCUCCUCUAUUAAGCUAGGAAAGAAGCUACCGGUACUACAAGAGUCACAAUUAGGAUGGUUAGUGACCGGGUCUAUUCCUCAAAGCCAACUUCAAAGCUCUGUCUGUUAUUUUGUACAAAAUAAUGAACCUGAUCUCUCACGUUUUUGGGAUUUCGAUGCAAUCUCUCCCACGCAUUGCAUGUCACAGGAAGAGAGAGAGUGUGAAGCAAGUUUCAGCGAGCACACCUCUCGAAACGCUGACGGUCGUUUCGUAGUAACUAUACCAUUGAAGGAGUCGCCCGACGUACUAGGCGAUUCGUAUAACAUGGCUAGGCGCCGAUUCAUGUCUCUAGAAAAACGAUUCGAACGCGAUCCUGUCUUAAAAGAACACUACACCAAAUUUAUGCAAGAGUAUAUUGAUCUAGGUCAUAUGACAGAAAAUACCAUUAAUGUACCACAAGAUAACAAGGUAUCAUAUUAUAUUCCUCAUCAUGGUUUGUUUCAGCCUAAAUGUAGAGUUGUUUUUGUUGCUGGAGCGGCUAGUACGUCGGGUAAAUCCUUCAAUGACAUUCAAAAAAUAGGCCCCACGGUUCAAGACGACUUAUUUUCAAUUCUCGUACGUUUUCGUCAACAUAAAUAUGUCGUGACAGCUGAUGUAGAGAAAAUGUACCGGGCAAUUGAAGUUAAUCCUUCCCAACGAUCUCUACAGCAAAUUAUUUACAGAUCCGAGCCUUAUUUACCGUUGAAGACGUACACCCUCAACACUCUGACGUAUGGCUGUUCCUCAGCGCCAUAUUUGGCCACCAAGUGUCUUGUUUCGUUGGCUGAUCAAGUGCAAGAUGACAAGGUCAAAUACGCAAUCCAACGUAAUUUCUACGUUGACGACUAUUUAGAUGGCGAUGAUUCCCUCGAAAAACUUAAACAUACAUGUCAGCAAGUAAUUUCUACUCUAGAUUCAGCUAAAUUAAAUUUAAGAAAAUGGCAAUCUAAUAGUACAGACAUAUUACAAACAGUUAUGGAUUUGAAAGGCACUCCUUUAAAUAAUAAAAGCUUAGACUUAAAUGAAAAUACCUCAUGUAAAACCUUAGGUCUAUAUUGGUCGUGUAGUCAAGAUAUGUUACUAUUUUCCAUAAAUUUAAAGCAUAAUCCUAAUUCAAAAGUAACAAAAAGACACAUUCUUUCUACGAUCAAUCAAAUUUUUGAUCCACUAGGUCUUGUAGGUCCAUGCGUUAUGGAAGUAAAGGACAUCCUGAGGAAGUUAUGGUCGGCAAAGUAUGAUUGGGAUGAUGAGGUAUCAGUAGAGAUAAAAAAUCUUUGGCACACAUUUGAAGACACACUACCAAAAAUCAAUAGUUUACGGAUACCACGUUGGAUCCUAUGCGAUGAGCCUUCCUCAAUUGAACUUCAUACCUUUACUGAUGCAUCUGAACGCGCUUAUGGGACAUGUAUCUAUGCUAGGACGGUAGGUAAAAAUGGCACAGUUGAUGUUCACCUAUUAGUCUCCAAAAAUAAGAUAGCACCCAUCAAACCUACUACGAUUCCUCGCCUUGAACUGAGCGGUGCAUUAAUGGGGUCAAGACUGUGUACCAAGGUCAAAUCCGCUCUGACGGUCAACGCACAGUGCUUCUUUUGGUCUGAUUCUACCAUUGUUCUAGGCUGGCUCUCUUCUCCGACAAACCAACUCAAACAGUUUGUUCGAAACAGAGUGUACGAGAUACAGGAGAGUACCAGCGGUCACAAGUGGAGCUAUGUGCCGUCAAAAGACAACCCGGCUGACCUAGUUUCCCGGGGGGUGAGGGCCGAUGCUAUCGGCGAGUCUUCUCUCUGGUGGAGUGGCCCCUCAUUCUUAUCAAAACCAUGUUGUGAUUGGCCAGUAAUGCCUAACGUCAAGGAACAGAGUCUGCCUGAAAUAGUUUUAUUUUCCAACGCUGAAGACUCACACAAGAUUCCUAAUCCUAUAGCAAACUUAAUUCAUAACAGGUCCAGUUUUACAAAUCUUGUUAGGAUCCUAGCUUUCGUGCUAAGGUUUAUAAAUAAAUGUCACAAAAAAGAAAGCUUGCAUGGUCAUCUUUCCCUUUCAGAACUACAAAGUUCAAAGGUCAUGAUUUUAAAGAUGGCACAAAAGGAAAUGUUUCCUGAAGAAUAUUCCUUAUUACAGUCUGAUCAGUCUCUUCCUGCUAAAAAUCGAUUGCUUUCUCUUUCUCCCUUUUUAGAUGAGGAUGGUUUAAUUCGUGUGGGAGGCAGACUUAAAAAUUCAUUUUACUCAUUUGAUGUAAAACAUCCCAUUCUUUUAUGUAGCAAACAUCACAUAACAAAGCUCAUAUUUAGAUUACAUCACAUCAAUCUCCACCACGCCGGCCCACAGUUACUCUUAGCCAACGUAAGGCAAACAUAUUGGCCACUAGGAGGCAGAAACCUGGCUAAGAGUACUGCCAGAGCGUGUGCAAAAUGUUGCAGAUUCAAAGCUGCUACUGUACAACCCAUAAUGGGGAACUUGCCUAAUUCUCGAGUUCACUUGCAGUUUCCCUUUCUUAACACUGCAAUUGACUAUGCUGGGCCAAUAUUGAUAGCCGAUCGCAAAGGUCGAGGUUGUAGGUUAAUAAAAUGUUACAUUGCUGUGUUUGUUUGCCUUGCAGUGAAAGCCGUUCACAUAGAGCUGGUCACAGAGCUCACCAAGGAGGCGUUCAUGGCUGCUCUGUCUCGUUUUAUCGCUCGCCGUGGGCGGCCUCAGAAUAUUCACUCCGACCAGGGAACCAGCUUUGUUGGCGCUUCUAACGAAUUACAACGCUUCUUAAAAGAUACCUCUGACGAUAUCUCUGGCCAACUUGCUGAUGACGCAGAAAACCAAAUGGCACCGGUCUUCUCCAGAGCAGUUGAUGGAAGGGACGCUGGUCCUAGUAAAGGACAGAACGAUGCCACCACUACUCUGGCCACUGGGACGCAUCAUCAAGGUCCACCCGGGCACUGAUGGCAUCACAAGGGUCGUCGACGUCCUCACCAAGAAGGGCACCAUACAGCGAGCCUACAACAACAUCUGCCCGCUGCCAACUUCUUGAACACAGCGUUCAACCCGGGGAGCAUGUUCGAGCACCGCGUCAUCAUAAUCAUUCAUAAUAUUCAUUCAUUCAACUAUUUACUUCAUUCAAUUUGUAUCGCAUUGUAUCAUUCAUUCAUUUGUAUAACUUCACUCAAAACCAUUCAAAAUUCUCUCUCUUACCUUUUGGAUCUCAUACAGAACACAUCUACUUAUCCGAAAUAUUGUAACGCGGCUCUUACUGUGAACCAGAAUACACCAUCAUAAAAAUACA